CUGCCAGACUCCUACGGGAGGCAGCAGUGGGGAAUAUUGCACAAUGGGGGAAACCCUGAUGCAGCGACGCCGCGUGAGUGAAGAAGUAUUUCGGUAUGUAAAGCUCUAUCAGCAGGGAAGAUAAUGACGGUACCUGAGUAAGAAGCCCCGGCUAACUACGUGCCAGCAGCCGCGGUAAUACGUAGGGGGCAAGCGUUAUCCGGAUUUACUGGGUGUAAAGGGAGCGUAGACGGUUGUGCAAGUCUGGAGUGAAAGGCGGGGGCCCAACCUCCGGACUGCUUUGGAAACUGUGCAGCUGGAGUGCAGGAGAGGUAAGCGGAAUUCCUAGUGUAGCGGUGAAAUGCGUAGAUAUUAGGAGGAACACCAGUGGCGAAGGCGGCUUACUGGACUGUAACUGACGUUGAGGCUCGAAAGCGUGGGGAGCAAACAGGAUUAGAUACCCGCGUAU
rnacentral:rRNA from 1 species